rnacentral:rRNA from 1 species
GACGAACGCUGGCGGCGUGCUUAACACAUGCAAGUCGAACGGAAAGGCCCUGCUUUUGUGGGGUGCUCGAGUGGCGAACGGGUGAGUAACACGUGAGUAACCUGCCCUUGACUUUGGGAUAACUUCAGGAAACUGGGGCUAAUACCGGAUAGGAGCUCCUGCUGCAUGGGGGGGGUUGGAAAGUUUCGGCGGUUGGGGAUGGACUCGCGGCUUAUCAGCUUGUUGGUGGGGUAGUGGCUUACCAAGGCUUUGACGGGUAGCCGGCCUGAGAGGGUGACCGGCAACAGUGGGCCUGAGAUACGGCCAAGACUCAUACGGGAGGCAGCAGUGGGGAAUAUUGCACAAUGGGCGGAAGCCUGAUGCAGCAACGCCGCGUGCGGGAUGACGGCCUUCGGGUUGUAAACCGCUUUCGCCUGUGACGAAGCGUGAGUGACGGUAAUGGGUAAAGAAGCACCGGCUAACUACGU